CACUAAAGGAAGACGAUGGUUGGUUGGUUUCAGGCCUUAACCAUGAAGAAGCAGGUUGCUAGCACCCGCCUUUACUGCGGCUGAGUGUCACUGCUGACGUGGGGGUCGUGGUCCAAUCAUUUGGUUAUGGAACAUUCUAAAACUUAGGCAAGACGAUUGCGAUUGGUUGAUGGGCAUAGGCCCGCCUCCAGAGUGACGUGUCUGCCUAUGGAUAUCAGUUGCCAGAGAAACCUGGCUUUACUAUGGCGGUUGGAGGGACGGCAGUGAUCACACGUCGGCUGCUGGAAAGAACUGGAUUCUCGUUUCAGAUCACGAUCAGAAAAGCUAAGUUUGCCUUACAGUAA
rnacentral:lncRNA from 1 species